rnacentral:rRNA from 1 species
UACGUAGGGUGCAAGCGUUGUCCGGAAUUACUGGGCGUAAAGCGUGCGCAGGCGGUCUGCUAAGAGAGAUGUGAAAUCCCCGGGCUUAACCUGGGAACUGCGUUUCUAACUGGCAGGCUAGAGUGUGGCAGAGGGGGGUGGAAUUCCACGUGUAGCAGUGAAAUGCGUAGAGAUGUGGAGGAACACCGAUGGCGAAGGCAGCCCCCUGGGCUAACACUGACGCUCAUGCACGAAAGCGUGGGGAGCAAACAGG